UUCGCCCUUCGGUUGAUCCUGCCGGAGGUCACUGCUAUCGAGGUCCGACUAAGCCAUGCGAGUCGAAUGCCGCAAGGACCGGCGGACUGCUCAGUAACACGUGGAUAACCUACCCUUGGGCCGGGUAUAAACCCGGGAAACUGGGUAUAAUACCCGAUAGAUCUAGAUGGCUGAAAUGCGUCUAGAUUCAAAGCUCCGACGCCCAAGGAUGCCUCUGCGGCCUAUCAGGUUGUAGUGCGUGUAAUGUACCUACUAGCCUAAUACGGGUACGGGUUGUGAGAGCAAGAGCCCGGAGAUGUAUUCUGAGACACGAAUCCAGGCCCUACGGGGCGCAGCAGGCGCGAAACCUUUACAAUGCGGGCAACCGCGAUAAGGGGACCUCGAGUGCCGACAUCUAAUGUCGGCUGUCGUGAUGCCUAAAAAGCAUUAUAUAGCAAGGGCCGGGCUAGACCGGUGCCAGCCGCCGCGAUAACACCGGC
rnacentral:rRNA from 1 species